UUUUUUUCAUUCGGCCAAGCUCUCUGUUUUUUCCUUCAUUCCCUUAGCCGUCUCCUCUCUUUAGUUUGCUCUGCUUUUCUUUAGCCGCCAAUUUCACCCUCUCCCUUGUUUUGUUUUCUCAGCUGACAGAUGAUUCCCCAGCUUUCUCUCACAAAAACCCUUCCUCUGGUCUCUUUUUCCUAGCCUCUCUCUAUCUCCCCCCAAACUCUCUCCCUUGCUAUUUGUUUUUGUUUUUCUGCUCAUCCCCGAUCCUCUCUCUUGCGGCUGGCUUUCCUUUUUCUAUU
rnacentral:lncRNA from 1 species